AAUGGACACGCUCAUUUACUAUGGAGAUCUAUUAGCGCAAUCACAGUCCUCACAGCUGCAGUCGUCUGACCCUGCACCUGCUACACCGGCCACGACAGAUGAUACAGAUCUGCCACCCCCAGCAGUUCAGCUGCAGUCACAGUAGUCCUCUGCUGUGGUAUUUCAUUUACCGGCUGCACCAGUUCUUACUACACUGGCUGCGAAGGGAGAAACUUUUGAGGAUUCCCAGAUGGAUACAGAUCUGCCAUGCACUCCACCACUGCCCCUGAUAGCCUCUCCCAGAAGUGCAUACACCGGGUCUAUCACUAUUGACAAAGCAGAGAUAGGUGGCUGACAAGGAAAAAUAAAACAACAUCCCACACACACACACACAUUAUCCCCAAUGUAAAUACAUUGUAAUUACUUCAUUAUUUUAUUUUAGGAUUGGAGAUAUCUACACCUACAUAUUCAUUAUCAAUAACUACAUAAUUACUCUAAGAAUCUUUCCAAUCAGUGUGAUUGAUAAUAUUGUAAGAGUAUUGCUUAAUUUGUAGUUUGAGAAAACUCAGUGUGCUUUUUUGAGUUGAAAAACAUUCUUCUCACACACACACACACACACACACACACACACACACACACACACACACACACACACACACACACACACACACACACACACACACACACACACACAACCUUAAUAAUGUAAAUACAUUAUUUAAUGUAGGCUCCAUUAAUUUUUUAUUUUAUUUUUUAUUUUUUAUAAUUAAUUUGUUUAAAAAAAAAAUGUUUUUAGAGGGUGGAUCAGCUUAAUAUUGCGGAAAGAAUGUUGCUUCCAAUGUAAUUGUCUGCAUCAUUUCCAAUCCCCCAUAUUUUUGGGGUAAAUAUAUAUAUCCAUACACCAAUGCAUAUAUAUACACAUAUAUACAUACACAUACCAAUAUAGACAAACAUACUUUUUAAAAGAAUAUACCUUUAUUAUUAUUCCCCGCAAACCCUUCCGCCGAUCCCCCAAUUGGAGUAAACUAAUAAAAACUUCUGCUUCUACCUUCAAUCCAUACAUCUUAUACACACUCUACAGACACAGUCUACUUCACAAUAGUUCUCUCUUGUUUGUUCUUAGUCCUUCCUCUAUUUCUGAUGUCCAUCCAGUUUGAUGAUUUCUAUUUGUAACUAUGCUAUUUCACAAAAGUUCCGAACCUAUAUACAUUUUACAGAUCCCGUAUAUUUUACAUUGUUUAUCUUGUUAUUAGUCCCACCCUUCUGCUCUAUUCAACCCCUCGCAUCUAUCUCUCAACAUCAUCCAUUUCGGAUUUCUACUUGCCAUUUAUUUUUCAACUGUGCUGUGAUGCUUCAUAAAAGAGUUGAACCUUCCUAUUCUCAUAGCUUCUACAGAUUGUAAAUUAAAAAUAAACAUUUUUGCUAAAAUAAUUAUUAUAUUAUUGAUUGAUUGACUAUGGCUUUUCAAAUCACCCAGUAUUACUAUCUGUAGUAGUGUUAGUUCUAGGCAAAUGUUGCAAUUCUUCAACCAUUCCUGGACCUGUGACCAAAAAUGAGCUACAUAUGGACAAUACCAAAAUAAAUGAUCUAAUGACUCUGCCUCCUCACAGCAGAAUCUGCAGAGCUAGGAAGAUUGUAUCCCCC
ensembl:lncRNA